CGCACGGGUGAGUAACGCGUAUCCAACCUUCCCAUUACUGUGGGAUAACCUGCCGAAAGGCAGACUAAUACCGCAUAGUCUUCGAUGACGGCAUCAGAUUUGAAGUAAAGAUUUAUCGGUAAUGGAUGGGGAUGCGUCUGAUUAGCUUGUUGGCGGGGUAACGGCCCACCAAGGCGACGAUCAGUAGGGGUUCUGAGAGGAAGGUCCCCCACAUUGGAACUGAGACACGGUCCAAACUCCUACGGGAGGCAGCAGUA
rnacentral:rRNA from 1 species